CCCUCCACCCUCCCUCCCCAAACUCACCUCAGUUGCCAAAGCCUCCCGGUGCCUGUUGGACAAUCCCUUGCUGGUUCUUCCAUCUGUGGGCCUAGUUUCCAGGGGCUGAGUGACCAGGGUCUUAAAACAGGUUUAAGACUUGGCUUGCUGGCCCUGGAGAUCCCAUCGCCGUCUUCGUCGAACUCGAACUCCUAGCCGUCGUGCUUCCCUGGCCUGUCGCGUCUUCCUGUGCCAUUUGCCGUUGUACUCAGGUUCCACGAGCUGCCCAUCUCCACAGAAGAGCAGCUGGCAUUGCCCUCCGGCCAUGCUGGCUGAAGAAAAGAAGACUGAGGACCCCAGGACGUCCAGCGCGAGGACCCCAGGAAGCUCAGCGCGAGGACCCCAGGAAGCUCAGCGCGAGGACCCCACCCACAAUGCCCAGCGCGAGGACCUCACGCACAACACGUUGCAACCCUUCUGGAUUAGGCCAAAGCCAUCAUCUGGAAUCCUGCGUGGGACCCUGGACACACGGACACAGACACCUGCCCCUGGGACCCUCCAACUGUAAAUUGAUUGGAAGCGCCCUUGUGAGCUGGGGCCUUCAAAGGGCUGAGGAGAAAAUGCAGGCCGAGAGACCAGCUUCUCAAAUAGGCUUCAAGCCUCCAUGACCUGAGCUCACCCCCUGGAAAUGUCUGGAAAACAUAAUGGGCAGGUUUUCUGUCUUCAAAGUUUCCA
rnacentral:lncRNA from 1 species